UUAAGAGUAGCGAUAUUAGCCUAUUUUUAUAGUUUAAAUUUAAAACAAAUUUUUACAAGCAAAGGAUAAAAAAAAAAUCAGAUGAGGUGAAUUUGACAGAACAGUAGUAAGCUAUUCAUCAUAAGCUCCACAAAAACUGAGAGAUGUCGAGCAUGCACUUUCAUUGCUUGUGGGCGUCAUCAGUCACUCUUGGCAUCCAAAAACUGAACAUGCAAUUAAUGUCUUCACAUGCUUGUGAUAAAGACCCUACUCACCAUUACUGAAGUCAUAAAGCACAUGCUUUGUAAUCAGAGGGAAUAGAAAACCUGCUAGCCAGCUUGCUGACAAUAAUGGAACUGUUGCCCAAAAUAUAUUUUUAUCCACACACACACAAAAAAAAAAAAAAUGUACAAAAUGCGAAUUUUGUCCCGAAUUAGCAUUUUUUCCAAUUGAAACAGGACAUAUGGAGUUGAUGAAUCAUUAGGCCUUGUCCAAAUUGUUUAAUAGCCAAAUGAUUGAGUUUACAAUGCAUGCUUUUUACUUGCUAUUUCUAUUAUGGGGUCAGAGUUAAAGUGUUAACUAUAAUACACAGAAGGCAAGUUUUCAAGGUUACUAAAGAUAUAAAAUGUAUAUCUUCAGAGUUGAGGCUCAGCGGAUGCUAGGUGUGGUGCUUAUGCAGAUCAUAAGAGUACCAUUCUGACUCACAGAAUUUCCUGACCCCCAGAUUGCCUUUCAGUAAAAGCUCUCUGGAAGACGACUAUUUUUAGUUUUUAGAAAAGUAUAUUUAGAUAUGUUUUUUUAACAGAUAUGAACUAAAGUGAUUAUAUUGGGUUUCCUUUGUGACUGUAAUUCUCAGAAUAAAAUAAUAAUAAAAUAGUAUUUAAAAAAACUGCCCCGUCCCCUUUGCACUAUAUUAACAGCUUGUUUUCCUUAAAAGAAAUAAAGAAAGAAACCCAGCAAUCGCUUAAUGUUGUUCUUUGGUUCUGUAGGCCUUGGUAUAACUCCAAAUAAUAUUAUGUCCUCCUCCUUAAAACGCUCCUUUUGUGGCAAAUUCAAAAUGGCCAGAUAUGUGAGUCCUACUGAAUAUGGGGAACUCUUGAAGGGUUGAUAUCAAUCAAAAUUCAUCAUGAGAACAAAAUAGUUGGGUUCUGCUAAAAACCACUGUCCUUUAACAUACUGAAAGUAUGCCCAAAUCUGUCUGUAAUUAUUGACAUCACAACUCUCUUUCCACACAGAAAAAAAUCACCGCAUAUUCAGGCAGGGAUUACUUAUCUGCUGGAGGAAAUAAAGACGUCUUUUGCAAAAGCAGACUCUGAGUCUAUAAAAACAUGUUGCAGGACUUACUAUGAAACACUGCGGAGGAAAUACACUUUGUCUCUACCCGAAAAGUUACAGAUUAGGGACUCCAUUAAGGCAGUGGCUAAAAUAAGGAGUAAGUGUAGAAAUUCACCCCUGUAUUAAGUUUGGUACAUCUCUGGGUGUUUUUUGCUGUGAAGUUGCUGGAGUCUGGGUCCAGGGUCAUUCAAACAGAUGCAGAGAGAGAACUGUGGCAGACAGCAACGCUGGAACUGAUGUCUGAUGAGGAGGAUGUCAUUGCUGACGGAAGGCCGGUGUGGGCUGUGAGAUCUCCACCUCACAGGAGACCACAGUUGUCAUCUUCAGCGCAGAUUGGAGGUAGAUGCACGCUACGUUCUUUCACACCAUCAGCGUGUAAGACCUAAUGAAACUGAGCCAGAAGGACAUUGAUUUUUGAAACUCUAAGAAGCACGGGUUCAUCUGUGACUGCUCCUCGGGUGAUACAGCGCUCCAAAUGUCACUGGAUGGCUUAAAUGCAGAGGUCACAUUCCAAGUAUGGGUUACAUUGGUUAUUAUGUCACUUUCACUUCCCUUUUAUAUUGUGUUUUAGUAUUUAGUCUUUAAUAUUUUAGCUUUUAGAACUGUAUAAAUAUAAUUGCACCUUUAUAAUUGC